rnacentral:lncRNA from 1 species
GUUGCUCCGGUUGUGGGUGUUAGGAGGAUGACCCACAUUGAUAGAUUAAAGAAUGUGGAGGUGUUUGAAUCCCAUAAGGCGAUGGGGAUUGGUAAUGAGAUGAGCUCCCCGAUGGUGCCUUGUGCGAUCCCUCCAGCGACGAUGGCCUAUAUAUCGUCGGUUGAGUCGGAGUCAUCAGGAAAGGAGAUGCACAUGGCCAUGCAUUCCAAUCUGGCAUAGGAUUGGGAAAAGGAAACAUAUAAGAGUUAUGAUACAUAUAAGGGCUAUGAUAUGC